UAAAAAAAAUAAUAAAAAAAUAAUACAAAAAAAUGAUCCGUAACUUCGGGAUAAGGAUUGGCUCUGAAGGCUGGGAUGACUCGGGCUCUGGUGCCUUCGCGGGUGCUUUGCCUCAACGCGUGCGUGCGGUGUGCGCUCGUGGCUCGGGUGGUCGCCGCCCGGGUUCCGGCCGCGCUGUGCUGCUGCAGUCAUCAAUAAACAGCCAAUUCAGAACUGGCACGGCUGAGGGAAUCCAACUGUCUAAUUAGAACACAGCAUUGUGAUGGCCUCCGCAGGUGUUGACACAAUGUGAUUUCUGCCCAGUGCUCUGAAUGUCAACGUGAAGAAAUUCAAACGGCGGGAGUAAAGCUAAGAACAAGAUUGUCCGUUCGACGCAGUGGUGGACGCAGAACGCUGUGCCAGUUCGAUUUUUCCAACAACUGUCAGUCGAACAAUCCACAGGGGUUGCUUUGUUCAAUGGUCGAUGACUGGCAGGCUAUGAUGACAGGCGCAAAAUUUUGCGUUUGCGUCCAGGUCUGACGGACAAUCUUGUUCUUACCUUUAAGAUAGCCAAAUGCCUCGUCAUCUAAUUAGUGACGCGCAUGAAUGGAUUAACGAGAUUCCCUCUGUCCCUAUCUACUAUCUAGCGAAACCACAGCCAAGGGAACGGGCUUGG
rnacentral:ncRNA from 2 species